AGUCUUAUAUUCAAGAAUGAUUUUAAAGUGCAAAUUUAAAGGAAAAGUGUUACUUUU
rnacentral:tRNA from 1 species